rnacentral:rRNA from 1 species
GACGAACGCUGGCGGCGUGCCUAAUACAUGCAAGUUGAGCGCUGAAGGUUGGUACUUGUACCAACUGGAUGAGCAGCGAACGGGUGAGUAACGCGUGGGGAAUCUGCCUUUGAGCGGGGGACAACAUUUGGAAACGAAUGCUAAUACCGCAUAAAAACUUUAAACACAAGUUUUAAGUUUGAAAGAUGCAAUUGCAUCACUCAAAGAUGAUCCCGCGUUGUAUUAGCUAGUUGGUGAGGUAAAGGCUCACCAAGGCGAUGAUACAUAGCCGACCUGAGAGGGUGAUCGGCCACAUUGGGACUGAGACACGGCCCAAACUCCUACGGGAGGCAGCAGUAGGGAAUCUUCGGCAAUGGACGAAAGUCUGACCGAGCAACGCCGCGUGAGUGAAGAAGGUUUUCGGAUCGUAAAACUCUGUUGGUAGAGAAGAACGUUGGUGAGAGUGGAAAGCUCAUCAAGUGACGGGAACGACCCAGAAAGGGACGGCUAACUACGU